GGCUGGUAUAAGUGCAGUGGUUUACAACUAAUUGUUCACAACCGGUUAUAUACUUCCUUGUUCCUUCUCUACUCCCACUGCUUCACUUGACUGGCCUUAA
ensembl:misc_RNA Y_RNA Y RNA